UGGGGAAUAUUGCACAAUGGGGGAAACCCUGAUGCAGCGACGCCGCGUGAGCGAAGAAGGCCUUCGGGUCGUAAAGCUCUUUUAUGAGGGAAGAUAAUGACGGUACCUCAAGAAAAAGCCCCGGCUAACUACGUGCCAGCAGCCGCGGUAAUACGUAGGGGGCUAGCGUUGUCCGGAAUCACUGGGCGUAAAGGGUUCGCAGGCGGAAUAACAAGUCAGAUGUGAAAGGCAUGGGCUCAACCCAUGUAAGCAUUUGAAACUGUAAUUCUUGAGAAGUGGAGAGGUAAGUGGAAUUCCUAGUGUAGCGGUGAAAUGCGUAGAUAUUAGGAGGAAUACCGGUGGCGAGGGCGACUUUCUGGACUUUUACUGACGCUCAGGUACGAAAGCGUGGGGAGCAAACAGG
rnacentral:rRNA from 1 species